AUGGCUCACAUAGGAAGGGCUGUAGUGUGUGAUAACAGGUGUGACUGCACAGUUCCUUGUGCAGGUGGUUCCACUUGCAGCCAUGAUGCUCAUUUACCACCUGGUUUUCGUUUCCAUCCUACUGAUGGAGAACUCAUCACAUUUUAUCUUCUCAAGAAAGUUCUUGACAACACUUUCACUGUAAGAGCCAUAGCUGAAGGUGUAUUAUUGAUAGUAAAGGAUAAUAGCAAUAGUAGAGGGUUUUCUCUAACUACUCUCAAACAAACAUCUCAAAAAAAAUAA